CGCCUUAUAUCUCUCCUUACCUGUUUUCAGUACAAUUAAUAAAAGUCUGAUGUCCCACAUCAGAGGGUCAAGUGAGAUUCACACGAGAGACGUGAAGAACAGAACUGACAGAGGAAUAACCAAGCAGCUGCAGACGACAGCUCAAAAGAGUUCAUGGAGAACAGAGUUGAGAUCCAUCAGGUUCUGGAAAAGGAAAGACAACAGCAGGGGAAUCACAGGGGCUCCCGAGGGAACCGUUUGACCUACUGCAUGGACGUCGACUCCGGGAGCGUCUGAGAAAUAAGAGCAUCACUGUUGCUACCCAACAGCAGAUGGAUACAAUUUUGAAAGAUUAAACAGAUAAGUAUUUACAUUUCUUCCUCUGCCCUUUAUUUAUGUUAUGAAGAGAGUGCAUGCCAAGCCAAGCCAAGCCAAGCCAGGCCAGGCCAGGCCAAGCCUCCUUUUGUGCUUUUUAUGGUGCUUUCAAAGUAGGAACAAAUGAGCUUUCAAAAACAACACGAGUUCACCAGGAGUUUAUAGCUGUCUAAUGUAAUAGGGCUUUUAGCUAAGUGAUGCUAACAUGCUGAACGUGAUGACUGAGUAUUAUUGUGAAAAUGAACACACUGCAACUCACACUGGAGAGCAUCUCUCACUGGCAAGUGUAUUUAUUUGUAGUAAUGCUAUGAUUAUGUAUGACAGAGAAAAUAUUUAUGUUAUUCUUACGUAUGCUUAAUGUUUAAUUAUGAAAUAGCAUUUCCUCCAAGGCACUGUAAGCCUCUUGCAGUAUUUUGAAGCUUUCCCAUUGGCUGACCAGCGAGUCCUUAAGAUACCUUUUAUUUCGGAACAUAAGUGAAGAAAAGUCAAAUUUCUGAUAGAUCGAGAGCAAAAACAAAAACACACCCACGUCAAACAGCUUCAGGACCAAGGACAAAGCUAUCAUUUUAGUUAAACUUUAUGAUCCGAAUGAAUACUCUGACCUUCGUAAACCCUCAGUAGGACCGAGAACUGAAGCAGAACAACACAAAAUUCCAAUCUUCAGACAAAUGUGUGAUGUUGACACUUACAUCCUGUUGUGGGAUUUAAACCUUAAGAAUCCUGUGUUGAGGGUUUAACCUGGAAGCAGGAUCAAAUAUAAGCUGUGGCCACAGUAAUUGUCAGCCCUGGAUGAAACUCACCCUAUUUACAGAACGCCUCUUUCCUUCGGUGCACUUGAAACAUCUAAUACAGCUUCUUUAAGAUCUCCUUGUGCGGUCCAUUUCCUUCAACCCUCUCAACGAGGAAGGUGGCCCAGGCUAACCGGCAGAGUGUACCGGCAGAGUGUACCGGCAGAGCCGGUACAGAUCAACCUGGGUGUCAUUUACAAUAGGUGUCAAACGAGGGGCCCAAACAAAGGCAUCAAUGAAUGUUGUCCACGUCAGUGUUACAGUUUUUCUCGAUUGCUUUGGUGCAUUUCUCAUGUAGCACAAUUAACAUUUGCAAAGCAACAUCCCCCCACCGUGAUGUCACUUAUGUGCAGCAUUUCUCAUUGCGUCACACAAAUUUCCAAAUGUUUUACUACAUAUACUGAGUGACAGAGGGCCUAAACAUUUGUAACACACUUGGAUUGGUCUGGGUUGGAGGUCCAGUGUGAUGGGCUUGCAGGGGGCCCAACGUCUCUAGCAGCACCCCUGCCCACAGUACCUGGUUUGAUUGUUCUUGUACUGCAGCUUUGUGUGACUAUUCUGUUUGCUAUUGUACUGUCUUGACAAGUUACAUGUGCAUGUGAGUGCUUUCUCAUGCCAGUGAACUUUACACACUGUAAUGCAGAGCCUUGCGAUGUUGAAACUGGUGUCUCUGAUAUGAAUAAAUAUGAGUUUGAUAAAGUUGGUGCAAUCAUUUGCUUUCGAGACACGAGUUAAUUGUUUCGGGUAAGUUACGGGCUUUUGCAGCUAAACCACAGUGCCGUGAUGUAUGCCGGAACUGUUCUGAGAAAUGUUCUUAUGGUCUUCAGAAUGUUUCAUGAAAUGUGCCAGAGCAACGGAGAAAAGCCGUAAUCUGAGGGAGCAAAGGGACCCUGAAAAGCUCAAAUGUUCUGUGUUUUGUCUGUAUCCUGUUUUCCAGAUUUUUGGUGUUCUGACCCAGUGGAGUAUUGUUGGCCCAAGAUAAGACGUCAUGAAACACCUCAACAGAUGUGUCGCUCUAGCUUCAGUCCUCCCAGACUUCAAGACCAGCAGCACGACGUAUUGGGCAAAGCCGACCACAUGCAGCUUUGAAGGAUUCCCUGGUGGGAGGGUUUAGAUGGGGUGAACCUAAAACCUACAAGCCACAGGUCCAACUAGGAAGACAAGAAUAGCACGAUACUGGAUUAGAGAGGAACGUAAAGAAUCGGCGAUGGAAGGUCAUCGACUCAUGUUGCAUCAGAAGACGUGAUCCAGGCAGCCGUCUGACUCCCGGCCAAGGGACUCUGCUUUCUCUGGAUUUGGACCACCAUCCGGAGGCCGUGUGUGGUAGCAGAUCGGGGUCCCAGCUGUGAGAUCAGUCAACUCCCAGCAGGCCGAGCUGCGCGGUCGACCAGGCCAAAGACAUGGCACUGCAUAUGGGCGGUCCGGUGUAUCGGAUUCUACGUCGACACCAGAGCCGAAUUCUGCUUUUUCACUUACUGGCUCUGAGUAUGAGGAACAUUUGUUGCUGCCGUGAAAUGUAUUGUGUACAACAAGCAAUCAUUUAAAAAAGUUCA